CGGAAAUAGCUCAGUUGGUAGAGCGGCGGCUUCCCAAGCCGCAGGUCGCGGGUUCGAGCCCCGUUUUCCG
rnacentral:tRNA from 1 species